rnacentral:rRNA from 1 species
UACAGAGGGUGCGAGCGUUAAUCGGAAUUACUGGGCGUAAAGCGUGCGUAGACGGCUAUCUAAGUCGGGUGUGAAAGCCCCGGGCUCAACCUGGGAAUUGCAUUCGAGACUGAAUAGCUAGGGUACGGUAGAGGGAAGUGGAAUUUCCGGUGUAGCGGUGAAAUGCGUAGAUAUCGGAAGGAACAUCAGUGGCGAAAGCGACUUCCUGGACCAGUACUGACGUUCAGGCACGAAAGCGUGGGGAGCAAACAGG